AGGCGACGAUCCGUAGCUGGUCUGAGAGGAUGAUCAGCCACAUCGGGACUGAGACACGGCCCGAACUCCUACGGGAGGCAGCAGUGGGGAAUAUUGGACAAUGGGGGCAACCCUGAUCCAGCCAUGCCGCGUGUGUGAAGAAGGCUUUCGGGUUGUAAAGCACUUUCAGUGAGGAGGAAAACUCUGCGACUAAUACUCGUAGGGCUUGACGUUACUCACAGAAGAAGCACCGGCUAACUCCGUGCCAGCAGCCGCGGUAAUACGGAGGGAGCUAGCGUUGUUCGGAAUUACUGGGCGUAAAGCGUACGUAGGCGGAUUAGAAAGUAGGGGGUGAAAUCCCAGGGCUCAACCCUGGAACUGCCUCCUAAACUACUAGUCUAGAGUUCGAGAGAGGUGAGUGGAAUUCCAAGUGUAGAGGUGAAAUUCGUAGAUAUUUGGAGGAACACCAGUGGCGAAGGCGGCUACCUGGACCAAUACUGACACUGAGGUGCGAAAGCGUGGGGAGCAAACAGGA
rnacentral:rRNA from 1 species